AUUGAACGCUGGCGGCAGGCUUAACACAUGCAAGUCGAGCGAGCGGAGGACGGGUGAGUAAUGUCUGGGAAAAUGCCUGAUGGAGGGGGAUAACUACUGGAAACGGUAGCUAAUACCGCAUACCAUCAGAUGUGCACAGGGGGGAUUAGCUAGUAGGUGGGGUAAUGGCUCACCUAGGCGACGAUCCCUAGCUGGUAGGAGAGGCUGACCAGCGACACUGGAACUGAGCCACGGUCCAGACUCCUACGGGAGUCAGCAGAGGGGAAUAUUGCACAAUGGGCGCAAUCCUGAUGCAGCCAUGCCGCGUGUGUGAAUGAGGCCUUCGGGUUGUAAAGCACUUUCAGCGAGGAGGCGUUACUCGCAGAAGAAGCACCGGCUAACUCCGUGCCAGCAGCCGCGGUAAUAC
rnacentral:rRNA from 1 species